GGCUGGAUGGCGCAAUGGUAGCGCGUUACUUUCCGGUACAGGAACAUGGUAAAGGUUCUGGGUUCGAAUCCCAGUCUGGUCG